UACGUAGGGUCCAAGCGUUAUCCGGAAUCACUGGGCGUAAAGCGUGCGUAGGUGGCGUGUUAAGUGUGAUGUUAAAUCGUGGGGCUCAACCCUGUCGGUGCAUCACAUACUGGCAUGCUAGAGGACAGCAGAGGCAAGUGGAAUUGGUAGUGUAGCAGUGAAAUGCGUAGAUAUUACCAGGAACACCAAUGGCGAAGGCAGCUUGCUGGGCUACUCCUGACACUGAGGCACGAAAGCGUGGGGAGCGAACAGG
rnacentral:rRNA from 1 species